GAGGAAGGUGGGGAUGAGGUCGAAUCAUCGCGGCCCUUACGUCGUGGGCUACACACGGGGUACAAUGGCAAGUGCAGAAAGCAGCUACCUGGCAACAGGAUGAGAAUCUCCAAAGCUUGUCUCAGUUCGGAUUGGAGUCUGCAACUCGACUCUAUGAAGCUGGAAUCGCUAGUAAUCGGAUAUCAGCCAUGAUCCGGUGAAUACGUUCCCGGGCCUU
rnacentral:rRNA from 1 species